rnacentral:rRNA from 1 species
GACGAACGCUGGCGGCGUGCUUAACACAUGCAAGUCGAACGGAGUGGCGAACGGGUGAGUAACGCGUAAUCAACCUGCCCUUCAGCGGGGGACAACAGUUGGAAACUACUGCUAAUACCGCAUACUGAAGGAGGGGAUUGCGUCAGAUUAGCGAGUUGGAGGGGUAACGGCCCACCAAGGCGAUGAUCAGUAGCCGGUCUGAGAGGAUGAACGGCCACAUUGAGACUGAGACACGGCCCAGACUCCUAAGGGAGGCAGCAGUGGGGAAGCUUCCGAAAUGGACGACAGUCUGACGGAGCAACGCCGCGUUAGUGAUGACGGCCUUCGGGGUGUAAAGCUCUGUUAAUCGGGACGCGGUACCGGAAUAGAAAGCCACGGCUAACUACGUGCCAGCAGCCGCGGUAAUUC